rnacentral:ncRNA from 1 species
GAUAGAGGUGCAGGAAUUGCGUGUAACAAAAAGUAGCUUGCCAGAAGUGAUGAUGUUUUGUGAAUAGCAUUUUUGCCGAGAGACAGUGAGUGGCAUACAUUGUUUCGGCUGCAUAUCAUAGAGGUAUGCGGCUGUCAUCAUAAAAGCAUGAUGGAGAGCUAUCGAAU